CAGUGUAAACAAGGCCAAAGAUCAGCAGGCCAAGAAUUCUGUUGUUUAAAGUACCAUCAGUCAUCUUUGGCAAACUGCAAUAGUAUGUUAAACUUUCUUUUUUUCUGGCAGGAAAAAUUUAAGAAGCUCCAAGGCAGAAAUGGAAUUGAAGGUACAAGCAGAGUUUCCAAAAUCUCAGGCAAAUGCCCCACUCUACCUUAUGACAACCCGGCCUUCAAAGAAGACAGCCUGCUUCUCAAUACUUGGCUGUUGUGCUGCAGGCCUGCUGUGAAUUUCUCAGAGGCAUCUGACCAGCCUCUGUGGAUACAGAAUAUUGAACUAGAAUGGGUUGUGGUCAGAUGUAGCAAAGACAUUUUCUGUGAGAAUUAAAAAAAAAAAACCCUA